rnacentral:misc_RNA from 1 species
UCCGACUUAACGUCGGCAGUCCCUCUAGAGUGCCCAACUAAAUGCUGGCAACUAAAGGUAAGGGUUGCGCUCGUUGCGGGACUUAACCCAACAUCUCACGACACGAGCUGACGACAGCCAUGCAGCACCUGUGAACCGACUCUUGCGAGCGACGACAUUUCUGCCAGUCUUCCAGUCCAUGUCAAGCCCAGGUAAGGUUCUGCGCGUUGCAUCGAAUUAAACCACAUUCUCCACCGCUUGUGCGGGCCCCCGUCAAUUUCUUUGAGUUUUAAUCUUGCGACCGUACUCCCCAGGCGGGAUACUUAACGCGUUAGCUGCGCCACUGAAGGGGUCAAUACCUCCAACAGCAAGUAUCCAUCGUUUACGGCGUGGACUAC